ACGGUACCGUAAGAAUAAGCACCGGCUAACUACGUGCCAGCAGCCGCGGUAAUACGUAGGGUGCAAGCGUUAAUCGGAAUUACUGGGCGUAAAGCGUGCGCAGGCGGUUAUGUAAGACAGAGGUGAAAUCCCCGGGCUCAACCCGGGAACUGCCUUUGUGACUGCAUAGCUGGAGUGCGGCAGAGGGGGAUGGAAUUCCGCGUGUAGCAGUGAAAUGCGUAGAUAUGCGGAGGAACACCGAUGGCGAAGGCAAUCCCCUGGGCCUGCACUGACGCUCAUGCACGAAAGCGUGGGGAGCAAACAGGAUUAGAUACCCUGGUAGUCCACGCCCUAAACGAUGUCAACUGGUUGUUGGGUCUUCACUGACUCAGUAACGAAGCUAACGCGUGAAGUUGACCGCCUGGGGAGUACGGCCGCAAGGUUAAAACUCAAAGGAAUUGACGGGGACCCGCACAAGCGGUGGAUGAUGUGGUUUAAUUCGAUGCAACGCGAAAAACCUUACCCACCUUUGACAUGUACGGAAUCCUUUAGAGAUAGAGGAGUGCUCGAAAG
rnacentral:rRNA from 1 species